AUUGAACGCUGGCGGCAUGCUUUACACAUGCAAGUCGAGCGGCAGCGCGGGGGGCAACCCUGGCGGCGAGCGGCGAACGGGUGAGUAAUGCAUCGGAACGUACCCUGGAGUGGGGGAUAACGCCGCGAAAGCGGCGCUAAUACCGCAUAUGCUCUGAGGAGGAAAGUGGGGGACCGCAAGGCCUCACGCUCUGGGAGCGGCCGAUGUCCGAUUAGCUAGUUGGUGGGGUAAAGGCUUACCAAGGCGACGAUCGGUAGCUGGUCUGAGAGGAUGAUCAGCCACACUGGGACUGAGACACGGCCCAGACUCCUACGGGAGGCAGCAGUGGGGAAUUUUGGACAAUGGGGGCAACCCUGAUCCAGCCAUGCCGCGUGAGUGAAGAAGGCCU
rnacentral:rRNA from 1 species